GAAGCAUCUCUAUGUGAAGAUUGCCUUCUUUGGGAGUUUUCAGUGAGUCCUGAUCCUUGGAAAGGGCCUUCCCAGACCUACUGAUUUUGGAAAUAGCAUCAUGCUACUGAGCUCCAGGUGACUCAGGCUUUUACUGGUUUUGCGCAUAACUUGAUUUCACCUCCAGAGUAAAAUCAAGCAUGAGUUAGAUAGCUAAAUGACCCAAGCAGGAGCAAAUGGAAACACUAUUCAGUAUGAUUUAAGUUGAGCUCUUAGACUUCAGGUUGGCAUUGAUGCAGAUUAUCGUAUGCACCACACAGCUGGGGAAGGAGCUGUGAGGUUCCUGUGAGAAACAGAUGGUUGGCCUUGCCAGAAUGUUUUUCUUCAAGACCUUUUAUUCAGUUUCCUCUUGUCUCCCUAUCUUCAAUCCAAAAUUUCUACAGUGGGAUGUAUGAAGAAGUCAGCAGCUUUUUAUGCAUGUGACCGAUGACAUCAAUAAUAAAUCUCAGGAACCGAACUAAAAUAAAAAGAUGUCAUAUGGAACUGGGAAAUUUUCACUCUGUUCUUCAGUUUUAAAGUUUGUUUCUUUUACUUUGUUCCUUUCUGAUCUUCUGAAACAUCUCAUAAUUUGACAAAAGCAUUUGCUGAAGGGGGGGGGGGGGGGAAGCAACGCAAAACAGCAAACCUUGAGUACUUUAGCUUCUUGUAUGACAUAAAGCUUAACGGAAAGCUUCAGUUAACCUGACCCAACCUUUUUUUAAUGAAGUUCAGUUGAUGCACCCAUUCUAAAAGAUAUUAGUGUGCCCAGUAUCUGGAAACAUUAUCUGCUUUUAGGAAGGUUAUUGUACCUGUUGUCAUUUGGUAUCUCCUGUUGGGGUAAUAAAAACUGUUACAUUUUAAAGGCUGCCAGUAGUCACAAGAGUGUCCAUAGGAAAAGAAUAUCUCUGGAACAAAUGGGGAAUUCUGAAGAAAGCAUAGGGUUUUAUGUCCCAACAGCUAUUACCUGUUUUAGAAGGCAGAGGUGGGAAGAAGCCUAUACCUUAUUACUGAGAUUGAGUAUCUUAUAAGAAAAUGCUGCUCUCUCAAAAGAGAAAUAUGAGCAACACUUUAAACUAUUACUUAGAAGUAAAAUGAGCUAAUGAAAUAUCAUACGUAUUAUUCAGGGAAUUUAAUAAAAAUCUGAAAUCUGUGUAACAUGGCAAGAGAGCUUGCCGUAAAGGAAAGAUUAUCCUCUGAUUGUUGUUAAGUUCAAGUAACUGUGGGAUAUAUUCUGGAAUUCUGUGACAUCUUAAUAGGCAAUUGCAGUAAAGAAACUGUGUGUAGUAUACUAGGAACAACUAUAUUCCAAUAGACAAAACUUUCUAGGUCACAUUUGAGAGACUUUGCUCUGUGUAAACCCUAGCUACUAUGCAUGCAUUUCUUUGAUCAUGAAAAGGACUAAAUAUCAUUAUGGGGAGAUACUUUCAAUCCUCAGGAGGACUGGUCCUUUUAAGAGAUGAUACUCUACGGUAUGUAGGUAGAUAAGAGAUUAAAAAAGUCAUAUUCAUGAUCCAUACCUGGAUCACUAUAACAGCAAUAAUACUGAUUAAGUCUGGAUUUCCUUUUCACGUAUUUGAUGUAAAUGCUUGGAAUAGAUUUCUUACUUUUUAAGAACUCAAUAAAUAUAAUUUCCUAUGCUUUCAUGUUAUAAUUGUGACAAAUAAUGGAAAAAAUAGAAAUUUCAUCUUUCUAAUGCCUUUCAUAAUAUUGAUUAAACUCAGCAGUGAAGUGAGACAAAGCUAAGAUUUGCUAAAUGUGGAAUAAUUCAAAGAAUAUUGCAUGCAUAUUCCAAAGAACACAUACUGUUUGUGAUGCAUAUAUUUUAAGACAUGCUAUUGAACCAACUGGAGAAGAUUCAACAUAUCUGCGGUAUGGAAUUUUGAAUGGGCAUUUUGCUACAUGGAAAUAAAAUGUGUUUCCAACUUGUACUGCAGUAGGAGCUGUCAAAAGGGAUUUAAAACACAAAGCAUACAAAGUAUUGAAGAGCUUCUGUGUAACCAAUGACUAUGCAUUUUAACAUCCGCUUUAGGAAAAAAAAAAAGGUGCGGAAAUGCUCAUUUUUUCUAUUUCUGAAUAAAUCUUGUUUUUAGGGUAAUUUAGUUUUUUGUUCAGUAUGUCAAUGGUAUUAACAUGGGGUCUUGAUUGAAUUUCUUGUUUAAUUACUACUUCAAAAAACAUAUUUGUGCUUAAUCCAGAGAUUAUUUUACAAUAAAUACAGUUUUGCAGUGCAAGAGCAGUAGGUAUUUUUCAAGUGGU